rnacentral:misc_RNA from 1 species
GAUGAAGAACGCAGCGAAAUGCGAUAAGUAGUGUGAAUUGCAGAAUUCAGUGAAUCAUCGAAUCUUUGAACGCACAUUGCGCCCUUUGGUAUUCCAAAGGGCAUGCCUGUUCGAGCGUCAUUUGUACCCUCAAGCUUUGCUUGGUGUUGGGCGUCUUGUCUCUAGCUUUGCUGGAGACUCGCCUUAAAGUAAUUGGCAGCCGGCCUACUGGUUUCGGAGCGCAGCACAAGUCGCACUCUCUAUCAGCAAAGGUCUAGCAUCCAUUAAGCCUUUUUUUCAACUUUUGACCUCGGAUCAGGUAGGGAUACCCGCUGAACUUAAGCAUAUCAUAGCGGAGGA